GCCGAGCAGCACCGUGGGUUUCGGGGAUCGCGCUGCUUUCCCGGAGACUUGCUUGGGUCUCAGCCUCCCUGGCUGGAAGCUGACCCUGAGGGCCCUCCCGGGUCACACCCUCUGCCGCUCAGUGAUCCUCUGGGCGAGGGAGCGAGGAUCCCUGGGUCUUUGUGCACGUGUCUUUGUGCCUGCUUGUGAGAGGGGUGGAGGGGAGUGUCGCUUUGGGGUUGCCAUAGCAACUACUUCUCUGUCACCCCAUUGCUCCCAAAGGUUUGGGCGGUCGCUUGUGCAAAUUUACAUAUAUCUGCAUAUUAUUCGGGUAGAGGUGGAGCAGGAACUUGUUUGGGCAACUAUCCCUGGACAGUUUCCCAUCUGAUGGGCACGUGGGCUGCGCACGUGUGAGCGUUUGGGAUAUCCACGGUCUAGACUGAAGGCAUGGAUCUCUCAGAGCUGCGAUUAGGCUUCGUGGCUGCCUCUCCCUGGCCUAGCUGCCCUCCUGGGGGCAGGAGCCAGGCUGGGGACUCUUUCCUCUGGGACUACACUGCAUGGAACUGAGGGCUCCGUCUUCAGCCUGAGCUUGGGCGUGCAGCCUUGGGUCAAGCCAAGUCCCUAUGAGAGCUGGAUACGGGCAGACUGCCUGGCCUCGCUAGGCCUCCUCUGCUCCUAUGCUAAGCGGGUUCCAAGGCCCCAGGCAGACCACGUUGCUGAAGGAGCCUCAGAGGAGAGCUGCCGCCGCCAGGGCCCAGCGCAGGGGCAGAAGCUAGUUUCCGUCCUGCAGGGGGCCCGCCAGGGCCACACAGAGGGGAGGGCAUACAUUUUUGUGGCUGAAUGAACCUCAGAGCCUACCGAGGAACAGAGAGAGACAAAAACGCUGCUGUCUCUCUGGAGCCAGCCCCUCCUGUCACCCCUUCACCCAGCUGGAUCCUGAAGUGGGGAGGGGAAGGAAGAGGAGCCGGGCCUUGGAGAUCCAGCUGCACCACAUCUGCAAGAGACCUGCCUGGGUUUUUCUGGGCUCUGGGUCUCUAGGAUGCUAAUGAUCAUGAAUAUUCAUAAAGAGGCAGCCAAGCUCCCUGGGGGAGAGGAAGGGGCUGCCGCUCUGGAGGACCUCCGUCCUGGAGGCUUGGAAGGGGCCGUCCCUGCAUCCUGGCGGGCGACCCUGGCCCCAGCCACUUUCCCCACUCCUCAGCGCUCAUCUCAGUCCUCGGGUCUCCCACCGCCCUGGGGGGUUCAUCACACACUUUGCAGAUGGCAGGGAACCGCUUGGCUCAGUGUCACAGUGGCAGCUGAACCUUCAGACCCUGAGAUGUCAGGGUGUGUUUCAGGGUGCUCAGCGGGAGCCCAGGAGCCCCGCCCACUGAUGCAAGGCACGCACGGAGGAGGGUGGCCCUGGCCUCCUUGGGUUCCUGCAGGGAGAGAGAAGGUGUCGCCCAUCCCUCCUCCCUGCCUCCUACAGCCUCAUAAAUUCCCUUUAGGCGACGGGUGAGAUUCUUUCAUUGCCCCUUAUUACCUCCUUCCAUUAAAGUCGAUAAUCUCUCACAAUCACUCACAACAAAUGUCACCGCGAUGGCCAGGGGGAGGGACGGGGGAGGGCACACGGGGGGUACUGCUCCUGGAGAGAGGUGGGCUCCUUUCCAUCUGGCCCCCCGGCCUCUAGGACAACACAAAACGCCAGGGGCCUCACUGGGAUUGGGUGGCCUGGGGAUCUCCUUGCCGGAAGGUGUG